CCCUCCUCGUUUCGCCGGAGUUCGCCUCGGCCGCCGCGGUUCCUCCUUGGUUCCGGCGAGCUCGAGCCUCCUCUCCUCCUCCCGAGCUGUCCACCAGAGCCUCCUCAUCCCCGCGGUUCGCCCCACCCACUUGCCCCCUCGCCGGAGCGGCCGUAUCGCCAAAGAACACCACCGCCCGCCGUCCUCUGCCUCCCCUCGGUCCUCCUCCGCCCCACGUCCUCCUCUCCUCCCCGGUGCCGGCUGACCCCCUGUACGGACGCGCCACGCCGGGCCGCGCCCGCCGGUUCCCGCGCCCUGGCCGGAGCUGGCCUGGGCCGGCCGCCCCAGCGCCGCCCCCUCCCCUGCUCUCCUCUCUGUUCACGAGCGAACAGGAGCGAGGAGAGGAGGAAGACGACGAUUCGCCCGACGCCAGCUGGCCCCUCCCGUUGACUAGUGCGUGGACCCCACGGCCCCACAAGUCAGCGAGACAGGAGCCGGUCCCGCCUCUGCUGACUAGGAUAAGUGGAAGCGUAUUCCGGUGGAAUACAUCUUCCCUAUCCGAAAGCGUACUCGGUCUCUGUUGCGGUACCAUUUACGUUUUCUCAGUCGGGAAGCGUAUUCUGUCGAAAGGCGCUCUCUGUUUUUCUGUCCAGGCCCUGUUUGAAAAUAUUUUCAUUACAGAAAGGUCCCUGGCUGAAAACACUUCAUAUCUUUUUAACCACAACUCCAAAUGAGCCCCUUCGAGAGAGAACCGUUUCCGGCAAAUCUUUCCGCGGCUUCACCGCACUUCUCCCCGGUGCCUUCUUCAUCCCCAGGCAAGCCACAAUACCCACUUGCAUGAUAGUCAUGCAGUAGCCAUGGUUUUCAACUUGAAUCUUUAUUAAAUGUUUGCUUGUUGAAAAGAUGGUUACCGUUGUUCCGGUGAUGUUUAAAUUUGCAUGUUCACUUUUGUGCUAUGUUGUCUUGUACUCUGUUAUCAUGUUCUACCUGCUA